GGAUCCAGACUUUGAUUAUGGCUCAGGAUGAACGCUAGCUACAGGCUUAACACAUGCAAGUCGAGGGGAAACGACAUCGAAAGCUUGCUUUUGAUGGGCGUCGACCGGCGCACGGGUGAGUAACGCGUAUCCAACCUGCCCAUCACUUGGGGAUAACCUUGCGAAAGUAAGACUAAUACCCAAUGACGUCUCUAGAAGACAUCUGAAAGAGAUUAAAGAUUUAUCGGUGAUGGAUGGGGAUGCGUCUGAUUAGCUUGUUGGCGGGGUAACGGCCCACCAAGGCAACGAUCAGUAGGGGUUCUGAGAGGAAGGUCCCCCACAUUGGAACUGAGACACGGUCCAAACUCCUACGGGAGGCAGCAGUGAGGAAUAUUGGUCAAUGGGCGAGAGCCUGAACCAGCCAAGUAGCGUGCAGGAUGACGGCCCUAUGGGUUGUAAACUGCUUUUAUAAGGGAAUAAAGUGAGUCUCGUGAGACUUUUUGCAUGUACCUUAUGAAUAAGGACCGGCUAAUUCCGUGCCAGCAGCCGCGGUAAUACGGAAGGUCCGGGCGUUAUCCGGAUUAUUGGGUUUAAAGGGAGCGUAGGCCGGAGAUUAGGCGUGUUGUGAAAUGUAGACGCUCAACGUCUGCACUGCAGCGCGAACUGGUUUCCUUGAGUACGCACAAAGUGGGCGGAAUUCGUGGUGUAGCGGUGAAAUGCUUAGAUAUCACGAAGAACUCCGAUUGCGAAGGCAGCUCACUGGAGCGCAACUGACGCUGAAGCUCGAAAGUGCGGGUAUCGAACAGGAUUAGAUACCCUGGUAGUCCGCACGGUAAACGAUGGAUGCCCGCUGUUGGUCUGAAUAGGUCAGCGGCCAAGCGAAAGCAUUAAGCAUCCCACCUGGGGAGUACGCCGGCAACGGUGCAACUCAAAG
rnacentral:rRNA from 1 species